rnacentral:rRNA from 1 species
AUGGACGAGUGCAAAAAAUGGAAUCUUGUCUGGGUUGGGAAAAACAAGGUUGCCCCCUUGGAGCCUCAUGAGAUGGAAUUUCUACUUGGUUUCCCAAAGGACCACACAAGGGGAGUUGGCAAGACACAGCGAUACAAGUCUCUCGGCAACUCAUUUCAAGUUGAUACAGUUGCUUACCACCUGUCAGUGCUGAGGCGCAUGUUUCCCAAUGGUGUUCGUGUGCUGUCCUUAUUCACCGGUAUUGGAGGAGGAGAGGUAGCUCUGCACAAGCUUGGGAUCCACAUGAGGGUAGUGGUUUCUGUUGAGAUAGGUGAAGCUAACAGGAGGAUUUUGAGGGGUUGGUGGGAUCAAACCCAGACAGGCACGCUGUUUGAGAUUCCUAAUGUGAAAUCUCUCACAGACGAAAGAGUUGCAUCAUUUGUUAGUAGAUUUGGUGGCUUCGACUUGGUGAUUGGGGGCAGCCCAUGUAACAAUCUUGCCGGAAGCAACCGACACCACCGUGAUGGCUUGGAGGGCAAGCACUCAGCUUUGUUCUACGACUACGUCAGAAUCUUGAAUUUUGUCAAGUCGGCCAUGGGCACCCAAUUUAUUGUUUGCUAG